AUUGAACGCUGGCGGAAUGCUUUACACAUGCAAGUCGAACGGCAGCACGGACUUCGGUCUGGUGGCGAGUGGCGAACGGGUGAGGAAUACAUCGGAACGUGCCCAAUCGUGGGGGAUAACGUAGCGAAAGCUACGCUAAUACCGCAUACGAUCUAAGGAUGAAAGCGGGGGAUCGCAAGACCUCGCGCGAAUGGAGCGGCCGAUGGCAGAUUAGGUAGUUGGUAGGGUAAAGGCCUACCAAGCCGACGAUCUGUAGCUGGUCUGAGAGGAUGAUCAGCCACACUGUGACUGAGACACGGCCCAGACUCCUACGGGAGGCAGCAGUGGGGAAUUUUGGACAAUGGACGCAAGUCUGAUCCAGCCAUUCCGCGUGCAGGAUGAAGGCCCUCGGGUUGUAAACUGCUUUUGUACAGAACGAAAAGGCUCUGGUUAAUACCUGGGGCUCAUGACGGUACUGUAAGAAUAAGCACCGGCUAACUACGUGCCAGCCGCCGCGGUAAAAC
rnacentral:rRNA from 1 species